AACGAACGUUCGCGGCGCGCCUAACACAUGCAAGUCGAGCGAGAAAGGGCUUCGGCCCGGUACAGCGGCGCACGGGUGAGUAGCACGUAGGCAAUCUGCCCCUGAGUGGGGGAUAGCCUUCCGAAAGGAGGGCUAAUACCGCAUGAGACCACGACCUCGCGAGGGGAUGGGGUCAAAGCCGGCUACUUCUUGAAAGCUGGCGCUUGGGGCUGAGCCUGCGGCCCAUCAGCUAGUUGGUAGGGUAAUGGCCUACCAAGGCGAAGACGGGUAGCUGGUCUGAGAGGAUGAUCAGCCACACUGGAACUGAGACACGGUCCAGACUCCUACGGGAGGCAGCAGUGGGGAAUCUUGCGCAAUGGGCGAAAGCCUGACGCAGCGACGCCGCGUGAGUGAUGAAGGCCUUCGGGUUGUAAAGCUCUGUGGAGGGAGACGAAUAAGGCAUGGCUAACAUCCAUGUUGAUGACGGUAUCCCUUUAGCAAGCACCGGCUAACUCUGUGCCAGCCGCCGCAGUAACAC
rnacentral:rRNA from 1 species